rnacentral:rRNA from 1 species
GACGAACGCUGGCGGCGUGCUUAACACAUGCAAGUCGAACGGAAAGGCCCUGCUUUUGUGGGGUGCUCGUGUGGCGAACGGGUGAGUAACACGUGAGUAACCUGCCCUUGACUUUGGGAUAACUUCAGGAAACUGGGGUUAAUACCGGAUAGGAGCUCCUGCUGCACGGUGGGGGUUGGAAAGUUUCGGUGGUUGUGGAUGGACUCGCGGCUUAUCAGCUUGUUGGUGGGGUAGUGGCUUACCAAGGCUUCGACGGGUAGCCGGCCUGAGAGGGUGACCGGCCACAUUAGGACUGAGAUACGGCCCAGACUCCUACGGGAGGCAGCAGUGGGGAAUAUUGCACAGUGGGCGGGAGCCUGAUGCAGCGACGCCGCGUGCGGGAUGACGGCCUUCGGGUUGUGAACCGCUUUCGCCUGUGACGAGGCGUGAGUGACGGUAAUGGGUAAAGAAGCAACGGCUAACUACGUG